rnacentral:lncRNA from 1 species
ACAAAAUGCACUUGGCCAAGGCCAGGGGAAAUGGAGACACAAAGAACCCAAUUCAAGCAAAGCAUAGUCUCCAAAUGGAAAAAUACAGUUCUGUUUUUCCCUUUCGUGAAACUGGCCCAAAGUGUGAACAAACAAGCCACGACCAGGCUGACAGGGAAAAUCGCUUUGAAGAAUGCGGCAAAUUAUUUUGUAUACUACAUCCAAGGCUACUGAACCAGAAGAAUAAGGACAUACUGCUUAUUACAAUCCGUAGACAGUAA